AGAGGGUGCAAGCGUUAAUCGGGAUUUACUGGGGCGUAAAGCGCGCGUAGGUGGCCAAUUAAGUCAAAUGUGAAAUCCCCCGAGCUUAACUUGGGGAAUUGCAUUCGAUACUGGUUGGCUAGAGUAUGGGAGAGGAUGGUAGAAUCCCAGGUGUAGCGGUGAAAUGCGUAGAGAUCUGGAGGAAUACCGAUGGCGAAGGCAGCCAUCUGGCCUAAUACUGACACUGAGGUGCGAAAGCAUGGGGAGCAAACAGGAUUAGAUACCCUGGUAGUCCAUGCCGUAAACGAUGUCUACUAGCCGUUGGGGCCUUUGAGGCUUUAGUGGCGCAGCUAACGCGAUAAGUAGACCGCCUGGGGAGUACGGUCGCAAGACUA
rnacentral:rRNA from 1 species